rnacentral:rRNA from 1 species
GAUGAACGCUGGCGGCGUGCUUAACACAUGCAAGUCGAACGGUGAAGCAGGAGCUUGCUCUUGUGGAUCAGUGGCGAACGGGUGAGUAACACGUGAGCAACCUGCCCCUGACUCUGGGAUAAGCGCUGGAAACGGCGUCUAAUACUGGAUAUGUUAUGUGACCGCAUGGUCUGCAUCUGGAAUGAAUUUCGGUUGGGGAUGGGCUCGCGGCCUAUCAGCUUGUUGGUGAGGUAAGGGCUCACCAAGGCGUCGACGGGUAGCCGGCCUGAGAGGGGGACCGGCCACACUGGGACUGAGACACGGCCCAGACUCCUACGGGAGGCAGCAGUGGGGAAUAUUGCACAAUGGGCGGAAGCCUGAUGCAGCAACGCCGCGUGAGGGAUGACGGCCUUCGGGUUGUAAACCUCUUUUAGCAGGGAAGAAGCGAAAGUGACGGUACCUGCAGAAAAAGCACCGGCUAACUACGUGCCAGCCGCCGCCGUAA